rnacentral:lncRNA from 13 species
AAUCCACCCAAGUAAAAAGGAGAAGGAAGAAAAGAAAAGGGCAGAAUGCAACUGAAGCCCACAAUUUGGGAUAUCUAGGAUGGAGAGAGAUCAGACAUGGACACAAGCUCACAUUUUUUGGCUCUAAGAGUUACCAUGAAUCAACUUACUGCUACAUCUCACUAGAAGUUUCCUGAAAAAGGAAGCUACUGGAGGAUGUACUUCACUAACAUGAGGGAAAAGAGCAAGACAUGGAUUUCGAAAAGCAGACACUUCAACACAUGAGAACAAUGAAGGGAAAUCCAGACUGACAGGUAUGUAGCAGCCUGGAAAACAACUAGUCCAACUGGAAGCGGGAGGAAGAACAAUGGC